GAGCCCUCCAGCUUUUGGGAGCUUUUAAGGAGCAUCUUGAGCAACAAUGGCACAAAAGAAAGAUCCAGUCUGCCAUGCUUUUUGAGGGGCCUCAGGUCGAUUGUCAGAGCCUCAUGGUUUCUUCUGGAUCAACCCGCUAUUGCUGAUUUGUGAAUGGUGCUUGCAAGUGGAUUGAGAGGCCACUGCUGGUUCAUGAAAACUGAACUGCUGAUCUCCUGACAAUGCAGACUAUGCUUACUCCAAAGAACUAUUUCUAAACAGAUCUACUUGACAUGUGAACUGGAUCAUACUUCUGUGUAACCUGGUAAAGAAUACAGAGUAAGAGAAAUGUUAUUCCAAAGAGGAGGAGAGUAAGUGUAUCAGAAAAGUACGUCCUGGGAAGCCUGAAAAGUACAAAAAAGGGUGUGGCGUGGCCUCUGGGUUGUCCAGCCUCUGGUUCCUAGAAAUCUAGGUAGUGUCAGUCAUGGACUCCAUCUCAUAACAUGGACCUCAAAUUUGACCAGUGAUUGGUUGUCCACUAUCACAAGUUCUGCUCCAUCAUUAUGCCAGCACAUCUUAGAGCCUCCCUCAGCCCUGAAGCAGGCUGAUCCAGACUUUGACCCUGCUGUCACUGAGAAGGAGCUUACCUAGGGUUGGAGCCUUCCGACCUAGAUGGCUCUUUUGUUCUGUCACCUGCCACUGCUCUCUCCAAAACACUGCUACCUGCUGAAAAGCCCUUGAGACAUUCCAGAGGAACAUCCUAUUCUGCACAUCGCCUACAGGCUGGUUCCAGACACCAAGAAUGGACUGGCGGGGGAUGGG